UACGGUAGGGUGCGAGCGUUGUCCGGAAUUAUUGGGCGUAAAGAGCUUGUAGGCGGUUUGUCGCGUCUGCUGUGAAAUCUCAAGGCUCAACCUUGAGCUUGCAGUGGGUACGGGCAGACUAGAGUGUGGUAGGGGAGACUGGAAUUCCUGGUGUAGCGGUGAAAUGCGCAGAUAUCAGGAGGAACACCGAUGGCGAAGGCAGGUCUCUGGGCCACUACUGACGCUGAGAAGCGAAAGCAUGGGGAGCGAACAGG
rnacentral:rRNA from 1 species